AUUGAACGCUGGCGGAAUGCUUUUCACAUGCAAGUCGAACGGCAGCACGGACUUCGGUCUGGUGGCGAGUGGCGAACGGGUGAGUAAUGUAUCGGAACGUGCCCAGUCGUGGGGAUAACGUAGUGAAAAUUACGCUAAUACCGCAUACGAUCUAGGGAUGAAAGCGGGGGAUCGCAAGACCUCGCGCGAUUGGAGCGGCCGAUAUGAGAUUAGGUAGUUGGUGGGGCAAAGGCCCACGAAGCCAACGAUCUGUGGCUGGUCUGAGAGGACGACCAGCGAAACUGGAACGUAGGCACGGUCCAGACUCCGUCGGGAGGCAGCAGGGGGGAAUUUUUGACAAUGGGCGCAAGCCUGAUCCAGUCAUUCCACGUGCAGGAUGAAGGCCCUCGGAUUGUAAACUGCUUUUGUACAGAACGAAAAGGUUUCUACUAAUACUAGGAGCUCAUGACGGUACUGUAAGAAUAAGCACCGGCUAACUACGUGCCAGCCGCCGCGGUAA
rnacentral:rRNA from 1 species